rnacentral:rRNA from 1 species
AUUGAACGCUGGCGGCAGGCCUAACACAUGCAAGUCGAGCGCGAAAGUCUUCGGAUGAGUAAAGCGGCGGACGGGUGAGUAAUGCAUGGGAAUCUGCCUGGUAGUGGGGGACAACGUUUCGAAAGGAACGCUAAUACCGCAUACGCCCUACGGGGGAAAGGGGGGGAUCUUCGGACCUCUCGCUAUCAGAUGAGCCCAUGUCAGAUUAGCUUGUUGGUGAGGUAAAGGCUAACCAAGGCGACGAUCUGUAACUGGUCUGAGAGGAUGAUCAGUCACACUGGAACUGGGACACGGUCCAGACUCCUACGGGAGGCAGCAGUGGGGAAUAUUGGACAAUGGGCGAAAGCCUGAUCCAGCCAUGCCGCGUGUGUGAAGAAGGCCUUAGGGUUGUAAAGCACUUUCAGUGGGGAGAAAGGUAAUUCACCUAAUACGUGAGUUAAUUGAUGUUACCCACGGAAGAAGCACCGGCUAACUCCGUGCCAGCCGCCGCGGUAA